UACGGAGGUUCCAAGCGUUAUCCGGAUUCAUUGGGUUUAAAGGGUGCGUAGGCGGAAUUGUAAGUCAGUGGUGAAAGCCUGCAGCUUAACUGCAGAAUUGCCAUUGAUACUGCAAAUCUUGAGUACAUUUGAUGUGGGCGGAAUGUGUCAUGUAGCGGUGAAAUGCUUAGAUAUGACACAGAACACCGAUUGCGAAGGCAGCUCACAAAACUGUAACUGACGCUGAGGCACGAAAGCGUGGGGAGCGAACAGG
rnacentral:rRNA from 1 species